rnacentral:lncRNA from 1 species
UUGUACACAGGUUCAGAUCCUCUGACUUUGACGCAGGAAAGUCAAGGUGACUUUGAGAGGAUCAUGUGUGUCAGAUUAAUCUAGUACACCAAGCCAUGCCACAUUUUUCUCUAAUUAAUUUCUUCUUAAAAAUAAACUUAAUCUUACAAGGUAAUGAAAAAUGGAAUGUAUUGCAUCUCAUUCCUUAUAUCUUCCACAAUCUUUGCACCUCCUUUAACCUUUCAUUAUCGUCACACAUCCUUCAAUCUUUGUU